AUCUAACUGACGAGUCCCAAAUAGGACGAAACGGGUGUCCUGGAU
rnacentral:hammerhead_ribozyme from 1 species